rnacentral:rRNA from 1 species
GAUGAACGCUGGCGGCGUGCUUAACACAUGCAAGUCGAACGGAAAGGCCUCUGCUUGCAGGGGUACUCGAGUGGCGAACGGGUGAGUAACACGUGGGUGAUCUGCCCUGCACUUCGGGAUAAGCCUGGGAAACUGGGUCUAAUACCGGAUAGGACAAUGGUUUGGAUGCUGUUGUGGAAAGUUUUUCGGUGUGGGAUGAGCUCGCGGCCUAUCAGCUUGUUGGUGGGGUAAUGGCCUACCAAGGCGUCGACGGGUAGCCGGCCUGAGAGGGUGUACGGCCACAUUGGGACUGAGAUACGGCCCAGACUCCUACGGGAGGCAGCAGUGGGGAAUAUUGCACAAUGGGCGCAAGCCUGAUGCAGCGACGCCGCGUGGGGGAUGACGGCCUUCGGGUUGUAAACUCCUUUCGCUAGGGACGAAGCGUUUUUGUGACGGUACCUGGAGAAGAAGCACCGGCUAACUACGU